rnacentral:rRNA from 1 species
AAGAGUAACUGCUUGCACCUUGACGGUACCUAACCAGAAAGCCACGGCUAACUACGUGCCAGCAGCCGCGGUAAUACGUAGGUGGCAAGCGUUGUCCGGAAUUAUUGGGCGUAAAGGGCUCGCAGGCGGUUUCUUAAGUCUGAUGUGAAAGCCCCCGGCUCAACCGGGGAGGGUCAUUGGAAACUGGGAAACUUGAGUGCAGAAGAGGAGAGUGGAAUUCCACGUGUAGCGGUGAAAUGCGUAGAGAUGUGGAGGAACACCAGUGGCGAAGGCGACUCUCUGGUCUGUAACUGACGCUGAGGAGCGAAAGCGUGGGGAGCGAACAGGAUUAGAUACCCUGGUAGUCCACGCCGUAAACGAUGAGUGCUAAGUGUUAGGGGGUUUCCGCCCCUUAGUGCUGCAGCUAACGCAUUAAGCACUCCGCCUGGGGAGUACGGUCGCAAGACUGAAACUCAAAGGAAUUGACGGGGGCCCGCACAAGCGGUGGAGCAUGUGGUUUAAUUCGAAGCAACGCGAAGAACCUUACCAGGUCUUGACAUCCUCUGACAACCCUAGAGAUAGGGCUUUCCCUUCGGGGACAGAGUGACAGGUGGUGCAUGGUUGUCGUCAGCUCGUGUCGUGAGAUGUUGGGUUAAGUCCCGCAACGAGCGCAACCCUUGAUCUUAGUUGCCAGCAUUUAGUUGGGCACUCUAAGGUGACUGCCGGUGACAAACCGGAGGAAGGUGGGGAUGACGUCAAAUCAUCAUGCCCCUUAUGACCUGGGC